AUUGAACGCUGGCGGCAGGCCUAACACAUGCAAGUCGAACGAGUGGCGGACGGGUGAGUAAUGUCUGGGAAACUGCCUGAUGGCGGGGGAUAACUACUGGAAACGGUAGCUAAUACCGCAUACCAUCAGAUGUUCCCAGAGGGGAUUAGCUAGUUGGUGGGGUAACGGCUCACCAAGGCGACGAUCCCUCGCUGGUCUGAGAGGAUGAACAUCCACACUGGAACUGAGCCACGGUGCAGACUCCGACGGGAGGCAGCAGUGGGGAAGAUUGCACAAUGGGCUCAAGCCUGAUGCAGCCAUGCCGCGUGUAUGAAGAAGGCCUUCGGGUUGUAAAGUACUUUCAGCGGGGAGGCGUUACCCGCAGAAGAAGCACCGGCUAACUCCGUGCCAGCAGCCGCGGUAAUAC
rnacentral:rRNA from 1 species